GACGAACCGUACGAACGUUAUUCGGAAUCACUGGGCUUAAAGGGUGCGUAGGCGGCGCGGAAAGUUGGGUGUGAAAGCCCUCGGCUCAACCGAGGAAUUGCGCCCAAAACUUCCGUGCUUGAGGGAGACAGAGGUGAGCGGAACUUAGGGUGGAGCGGUGAAAUGCGUUGAUAUCCUAAGGAACACCGGUGGCGAAAGCGGCUCACUGGGUCUCUUCUGACGCUCAUGCACGAAAGCUAGGGGAGCAAACAGG
rnacentral:rRNA from 1 species